rnacentral:tRNA from 1 species
GCGGGAAUGGCGGAACGGAUGACGCGGCGGACUUAGAAUCCGUUUAUUGAGAGUUCAAAUCUCUCUUCCUGUA